AAUCAGAGUUUAUAUUUGAGAGGUGAUGAUGAAAUUAAAGAUGUCAAAGCAGCAGCAGAACAGUCAUCUCAUCUUCAUCUGAAAAAGAUGUCAGAAAUUCAGCUAUUGUCGUGUAGUUGAAGACCUGGUUCCUUCCUUUUCAGAUAGUGCCAUGGAAAAACUGAAGAAAUUGCUUGGCUCAUGAUGAUGUUCCUCAGCCCUGGAUUACCAGUGUCAACAGGAGAAGAAUUUUUAAAUAGUUUUCCCUAUGUAUUAGUCGAACCAACUUUUGAGAUUUUAGCAAGCUCGAGCUUAGCUUUGCCUGUCCUUAAGGCAUUUCCUUGUAUGGGGGGUCUGAUCAGUCGCAUAUUGUAUGGGGGUCUGAUCAGUCGCAUAAUACUGUGAUAAUCACUUCGAAAGUUAAGUGUUAGCAAAGAAAAAAUUACGAUAUGAUUAUAUGAUAGUUUUUUUUAUUUUGACUCGGUGCA